rnacentral:misc_RNA from 1 species
AGCAGCCGCGGUAAUUCCAGCUCCAAUAGCGUAUAUUAAAGUUGUUGCAGUUAAAAGCUCGUAGUUGAAUUUCGGGGUUAGUAGGUUGGUCAUGCCUCUGGUAUGUACUGGUCUCACUGAUUCCUCCUUCCUGAUGAGCCGUAAUGCCAUUAAUUUGGUGUUGCGGGGAAUUUGGACUGUUACUUUGAAAAAUUAGAGUGUUUAAAGCAAGCUAACGCUUGAAUACAUUAGCAUGGAAUAAUGAAAUAGGACGUUCGAUCCUAUUUUGUUGGUUUCUAGGAUUGACGUAAUGAUUAAUAGGGAUAGUUGGGGGCAUUAGUAUUCAAUUGUCAGAGGUGAAAUUCUUGGAUUUAUUGAAGACUAACUACUGCGAAAGCAUUUGCCAAGGAUGUUUUCAUUAAUCAAGAACGAAAGUUAGGGAUCGAAGACGAUCAGAUACCGUCGUAGUCUUAACCAUAAACUAUGCCGACUAGGGAUCGGAUGAUGUUAAUUUUUAAUGACUCAUUCGGCGCCUUAACC